rnacentral:misc_RNA from 1 species
UACGGAGGGUGCAAGCGUUAAUCGGAAUUACUGGGCGUAAAGCGCGCGUAGGCGGUUUGUUAAGUCAGAUGUGAAAUCCCCGGGCUCAACCUGGGAAUGGCAUUUGAGACUGGCAGGCUAGAGUAUGGUAGAGGUGAGUGGAAUUUCAGGUGUAGCGGUGAAAUGCGUAGAUAUCUGAAGGAACAUCAGUGGCGAAGGCGACUCACUGGGCCAUUACUGACGCUGAGGUGCGAAAGCGUGGGUAGCAAACAGG